UGGGUAACCUGCCUCAAAGAGGGGAAUAGCCUCCCGAAAGGGAGAUUAAUACCGCAUAAUAUGUUUAAGUCGCAUGGCUUUAACAUCAAAGGAUUUUCUUUUAGAAAUUCCACUUUGAGAUGGACCCGCGGCGCAUUAGCUAGUUGGUGAGGUAACGGCUCACCAAGGCAACGAUGCGUAGCCGACCUGAGAGGGUG
rnacentral:rRNA from 1 species